rnacentral:rRNA from 1 species
GCGUAGGUAUCUAUCUUCGGGUGGGGAGUAACGUUGGAAACGACUGCUAAUACCGCAUGAUGACCGAGGUCCAAAGCAGCAAUGCGCCUGGAGAGGAGCCUGCGUUCGAUUAGCUAGUUGGUGGGGUAAAGGCCUACCAAGGCGACGAUCGAUAGCUGGUCUGAGAGGAUGAUCAGCCACACUGGGACUGAGACACGGCCCAGACUCCUACGGGAGGCAGCAGUGGGGAAUAUUGGACAAUGGGCGCAAGCCUGAUCCAGCAAUACCGCGUGUGUGAAGAAGGCUCUAGGGUCGUAAAGC